rnacentral:rRNA from 1 species
UGGGGAAUUUUGGACAAUGGGCGCAAGCCUGAUCCAGCAAUGCCGCGUGAGUGAAGAAGGCCUUCGGGUUGUAAAGCUCUUUUGUCAGGGAAGAAACGGUAGAGGCUAAUAUCCUUUGCUAAUGACGGUACCUGAAGAAUAAGCACCGGCUAACUACGUGCCAGCAGCCGCGGUAAUACGUAGGGUGCAAGCGUUAAUCGGAAUUACUGGGCGUAAAGCGUGCGCAGGCGGUUUUGUAAGUCUGUCGUGAAAUCCCCGGGCUCAACCUGGGAAUUGCGAUGGAGACUGCAAGGCUAGAAUCUGGCAGAGGGGGGUAGAAUUCCACGUGUAGCAGUGAAAUGCGUAGAGAUGUGGAGGAACACCGAUGGCGAAGGCAGCCCCCUGGGUCAAGAUUGACGCUCAUGCACGAAAGCGUGGGGAGCAAACAGG